GUGGUGGAAAACUGUAUCCAUGAACAGUGAAUGAACUGAAAAGAUGUGAAUUUGAUAAAUAAGAAGGGUAUUAAUACGCCAAUUCAAUAAAAAAAAAUAGCAUUUAUUCUUUCAUUUUGUUUGCCUUAAAUUACUGCUACGUUUCGUUCGCGGUUUAGUAUAGAUCGACUUGAGUAACGGGAUAUAAAAAAUCAAAUAAACAUACUAAAAUAAAAUGUUAACAUAUAUAAAAAUCGUCUGCAAAAUUAGGAACUAUUUCAAUCAGAUCAUGCUGGUUUAAAAAGUGAUUUAUAACAAUUAGAAACGAACAAAUGGUCCAG
rnacentral:lncRNA from 1 species